ACCGCAGGGUUCAAAUGGAAAUGCCAUUUUUAAAGUGGAUCUUGUGCAAUCAACAAAAGGUUUUGGGACCCACAUGGGCACAUGACAGGGAGAGGUCACUGAGCCCUGGUUUCGAUGUUGGCCUGGUGUUUCAGAGGAGCGGGAGAGCUGGCAGCACUUAGGACCUCAGCGCUUCCUCGGUGGCUGCAUCCUGUGUGGCACUCACCACAGGGAGGUCAAGAACCCACGGCCACCCUGGGUGGACGCCACACACAGGAAAUGGGCAUGGCCUGGCCUGUCUCUCUCACGGGUCUUGCUGGGACCUAGUGCGAUAAGAACUGUGCAAGCGCUUCCUAAGGGCCCGUCGAAGUUAAUAUAUCUCUGCAGAACGCCGAGGGGCACAGCAACCAUCGACCACAGCAGAACAAAGAUGCAGUGGCCUGCGCCACUAGCCAAGGAGCCCAGGACCCCCUGGGUCUCAAAUUGUGCAACAGCUCCCUAAAAAGCCUCAACCCUGAAACUGGCCCAAGGAAGUCACCCAAACCCCUGGCAGGUGAAGAGGCCCACUGCCAUUCCAUCAGGAGGCCAACAAGGAUCCCUGAAGAGCCACUGCCUCUGUAAAAGGUACCGGCAGCCUCUUGCAGAUGGAAGGGAGUCCCUUUGUUGUUUUGUUUUUCCUCCUCUUGAUGGUAAAUGUCUUUGAUGUGUGGCUUACAGAAAUGAUCUCUUUACCCAUCUGUAUCUGCUCAACAGUUCGCAGAAAAUCUGCUCUAAAUCCACACAGCCCAUACUUGGUCAUAAUUUUUCUCCUGACUCAUCCACGAGAAAGCCAACCUGGGCACUGCAGGCUGGAUCCCCAUCCUCCUGAGAGAAGGCCAUGGCCAGCCCAGGGGACAGGAGGAGAGAGGCGGUGUUCUAGAAAUAACUUCUCCUUUGUUCACCUCUACUGACAGGUGGCCCAUGUGCAGGAC